UACGUAGGCAGCGAGCGUUGUUCGGAGUUACUGGGCGUAAAGGGUGUGUAGGCGGUUCUCUAAGUUUGGUGUGAAUCUCCCGGCUCAACCGGGAGGUGCGCCGAAAACUGGAGGCUAGAGUGCGGGAAGGGAGAGUAGAAUUCCUGGUGUAGCGGUGAAAUGCGUAGAUAUCAGGAGGAACACCGAUGGCGAAGGCAGGUCUCUGGGCCACUACUGACGCUGAGAAGCGAAAGCAUGGGGAGCGAACAGGAU
rnacentral:rRNA from 1 species